UGGGGAAUAUUGGGGCAAUGGGGCGAAAGCCUGACCCAGCAACGCCGCGUGAAGGAAGAAGGUUUUCGGAUUGUAAACUUCUUUUAUCAGGGACGAGGAAAGUGACGGUACCUGAUGAAUAAGCCACGGCUAACUACGUGCCAGCAGCCGCGGUAAUACGUAGGUGGCAAGCGGUUAUCCGGAUUUACUGGGUGUAAAGGGCGUGUAGGCGGAGAUGCAAGUUGGGAGUGAAAUCCAUGGGCUCAACCCAUGAACUGCUCUCAAAACUGUAUCCCUUGAGUAUCGGAGAGGCAAGCGGAAUUCCUAGUGUAGCGGUGAAAUGCGUAGAUAUUAGGAGGAACACCAGUGGCGAAGGCGGCUUGCUGGACGACAACUGACGCUGAGGCGCGAAAGCGU
rnacentral:rRNA from 1 species